rnacentral:rRNA from 1 species
GCGAACGGGUGAGUAACACGUGGGCAACCUGCCCAAAAGAGGGGGAUAACACUUGGAAACAGGUGCUAAUACCGCAUAACCAUAGUUACCGCAUGGUAACUAUGUAAAAGGUGGCUAUACUACCGCUUUUGGAUGGGCCCGCGGCGCAUUAGCUAGUUGGUAGGGUAAAGGCUUACCAAGGCAAUGAUGCGUAGCCGAAUUGAGAGGUUGAUCGGCCACAUUGGGACUGAGACACGGCCCAAACUCCUACGGGAGGCAGCAGUAGGGAAUCUUCCACAAUGGGCGAAAGCCUGAUGGAGCAACGCCGCGUGGGUGAAGAAGGUCUUCGGAUCGUAAAACCCUGUUGUUAGAGAAGAAAGUGCGUGAGAGUAACUGUUCACGUUUCGACGGUAUCUAACCAGAAAGCCACGGCUAACUACGUGCCAGCAGCCGCGGUAAUACGUAGGUGGCAAGCGCUAUCCGGAUUUAUUGGGCGUAAAGGGAACGCAGGCGGUCUUUUAAGUCUGAUGUGAAAGCCUUCGGCUUAACCGGAGUAGUGCAUUGGAAACUGGGAGACUUGAGUGCAGAAGAGGAGAGUGGAACUCCAUGUGUAGCGGUGAAAUGCGUAGAUAUAUGGAAGAACACCAGUGGCGAAAGCGGCUCUCUGGUCUGUAACUGACGCUGAGGUUCGAAAGCGUGGGUAGCAAACAGGAUUAGAUACCCUGGUAGUCCACGCCGUAAACGAUGAAUGCUAAGUGUUGGAGGGUUUCCGCCCUU